GAGCCUAAACCCGGUGGUUUCGGGGGCUGCUACACUGGAGCUUUUCCGCGGCGCCGGCAGGGGGCGGUGCGGUCCAGGCGGGUGCAGGGCGGUGUGUGUGGGAGGGUGAGGGGCGCCUCAGCUGGAUUUGUACUUCUUUGACCACGGUGGGAGGGAAUUGAGGGAACAGCCUCGCCGGCCCGUCCUUACGUGGCGGACAGAUCACCGUAGCUGGGAAGGCGCAGCGCCUCGCCGGGCGCCCGCUACGCUGUCGGUGAGGCCCGAGAGCGGUCCCCGAGGCGGGGUCUCCCCCGCAGCCCCUGGGCUCCGCCGCCCCCACCUCGCGGCGGCGCGGGCGCCGCGCGGUCCUCCCCCUGCGGCCCGGCCGCGUGGCUUGCGGCUUAUUUUCCCAGCUGGCAAGCGUCGCGCUGCAAACAAGGGAAUGCCUGUGGUUCUGCAGGUUCCGGAGCUCGGGGCCCUCCUGAUCCCACCAAGCACCCUCCAGGAGCGGAAGAGUUAAAAAUGAUGUAAGUACAAACCACCAGCUUAUUGCUGCUGGGCUGUAGAACUCGGGGCUAUUUCAGCCUGCUUUGCGGACUCCGCGAUCGCGCGAGCAGCGGGGAGGCUCUUACUCUAGCCGGCUUGCACAAAUCGAACCCCGGCUCCGAUUGCC
rnacentral:lncRNA from 1 species